GACUUUGCACUGGGCAUGGAGCCCAAUGCAGGGCUCAAACUCCUGACCCUGAGCUCACUACCCUGAGCUGUAACCAAGGGCCAGUCACUUAAGUGACUGCACCACCCAGGCUCCCCUUUUAAGGAGUUUUAAGAAGUUUUAAAUACCCCCCCCCUUUUUUUUAUAUCUUCUAGGAAUGAAAAGGUUUCACUGUUCUCAGAGCAUCCACAAAUACAUCUUUGAAUUUUUUUCCCUUUUCUUUUUCUUUCACCUGGCCUAGGGUUAAAGAACCACUUUACCACUCCGACGAAGAGUUCAUCCAACAUUCCAAAUGCUCAUGGCAUUGAGCUAGGGGCUUGGAGGGAGGAGGGCUCAAGCUGGUUUUCCCCAUCACCGGUUCACCUUUCUGCUGUAUGUGCCAAUUAGUAAAAGGGACGAGGGCAAGAAGCAAUCCGGUGAUUAUCUGCCACCACCAGCCAUCCUGGUGCUCACACACUGAAGGGCUGUGCUGCUGAUUCUUGCUCCCCUACGGCCUGCAUGCUUCUUCGGAACGAGGGAAGAGGAGAUUCGCAGACCAGUCUAUAUGGACAGAUGGGCCGAGGAGUUGUUUGUGAGCAGCCCUGCGAUUGUGUGCUUCCCGGGGGGGCAGCCACACGUUUGCCCUCCACUCAAGCCUCCCUUAGUGCUCUUGGACCUGAACUCUCACAGCCUUCUGGUCGACCCAGCUCCUCUGGAUUCCUUAUUAUAUAUUGCUCUGCAAUAUUAUUUAACAUUUUGGUGUAUUAAAAUUUUAUCUUUUCAACUAAA